AACGAACGCUGGCGGCAGGCCUAACACAUGCAAGUCGAACGCCGUAGCAAUACGGAGUGGCAGACGGGUGAGUAACACGUGGGAACGUACCCUUCGGUUCGGAAUAACUCAGGGAAACUUGAGCUAAUACCGGACACGUCCGAGAGGAGAAAGAUUUAUCGCCGAGGGAUCGGCCCGCGUCUGAUUAGCUUGUUGGUGAGGUAACGGCUCACCAAGGCGACGAUCAGUAGCUGGUCNGAGAGGAUGAUCAGCCACAUUGGGACUGAGACACGGCCCAAACUCCUACGGGAGGCAGCAGUGGGGAAUAUUGGACAAUGGGCGCAAGCCUGAUCCAGCCAUGCCGCGUGAGUGAUGAAGGCCCUAGGGUUGUAAAGACUCUUUUACCCGGGAUGAUAAUGACAGUACCGGGAGAAUAAGCUCCGGCUAACUCCGU
rnacentral:rRNA from 1 species